CGUCGAGCAGGUACGAAAGUAGGUCUUAGUGAUCCGGUGGUUCUGUAUGGAAGGGCCAUCGCUCAACGGAUAAAAGGUACUCCGGGGAUAACAGGCUGAUACCGCCCAAGAGUUCACAUCGACGGCGGUGUUUGGCACCUCGAUGUCGGCUCAUCACAUCCUGGGGCUGAAGCCGGUCCCAAGGGUAUGGCUGUUCGCCAUUUAAAGUGGUACGCGAGCUGGGUUUAGAACGUCGUGAGACAGUUCGGUCCCUAUCUGCCGUGGACGUUUGAGAUUUGAGAGGAGCUGCUCCUAGUACGAGAGGACCGGAGUGGACGAACCUCUGGUGUUCCGGUUGUCACGCCAGUGGCAUUGCCGGGUAGCUACGUUCGGACGGGAUAACCGCUGAAAGCAUCUAAGCGGGAAGCCUCCCUCAAGAUGAGAUCUCACUGGAACUUUAAGUUCCCUAAAGAGCCGUUGAAGACUACGACGUUGAUAGGCAGGGUGUGUAAGUGCUGUGAGGCAUUGAGCUAACCUGUACUAAUUGCUCGUGAGGCUUGACCAUAUAAC
rnacentral:rRNA from 1 species